UUCCCGUACGAUGACCGAAGUUAAGCAACGUCGAGCCUGGUUAGUACAUAAAUGGGUGACCGCUUGGGAAUACCAGGCGCUGUAA